ACUAGCAUGAACGGCUAAAUGAGGAUUUAACUGUCUCUUGUAAUUUACCUAUGAAACUGAUCUUGUAGUCCAAAAGCUACAAUAAAAACAUCAGACGAGAAGACCCUGUGGAGCUUCUAAACCAAAACCAAACACAUGACCCCUUGGUUUUUAGUUGGGGCAACUUCGGAGUACAAACCAACCUCCGACAAACCACAAAUUAAGACUAACAAGUCAAAAUUUAAACUUGACCCAAUAAUCUAAUCUAGACUAUUUGACCAAUGAACCAAGUUACCCCAGGGAUAACAGCGCUAUCCUCUUUUAGAGUCCCUAUCGACAAGAGGGCUUACGACCUCGAUGUUGGAUCAGGACACCCCAAUAAUGCAGCCGUUAUUAAAG
rnacentral:rRNA from 1 species